rnacentral:lncRNA from 1 species
UAAAAUACCGUCUCUAAUCACCAAUCGACCGGCAGAUAUUGUAGCUCCACCGGCUAGAAAGCUUGAAUGUACAAAUCUACCUUUUUGUUUCUGCCCGAUAUAUAAAACCAUUGAUGGGCUAAGCACAAAUAUCCACUUGGUGUGUUCUGGUCCACCUGUUGUAUCAAUCACAGUCUUACUCAGUUUGUACAUGAACUUCCCGUCUUCCACUAUAACUUCAUAUGCCUCCCUUUCUUUCUGGCCAAGAUAUAUGAUGCAUUGCUGAAGAAGCUUUGUU